UAGGCGGUGGAUUCCCCUGGCUAACAACUAACUGUGCGAACGAGUAAAUCCCCUUUAGGUGCUCUAAUGCUUCACCUUUACGCAGUGAUUUGUAAUCCUUUCUAGAAUUUGAUCCACCUUUCAGGACCUUUGUCCCUGGUGAAAAAAAACUCAAUAACUAAUUUUUGAGUGCCUGGUAUGGAAUUCAGUCGUGGAAAACAAUCUGGGCGCUUAAGGUAAGAAAACAAGCAAAGAGAUUAAGCAAGUGAUAACUGGUAA